rfam:Triticum aestivum genome assembly, contig: Triticum_aestivum_CS42_TGACv1_scaffold_542639_6DS
GUAGUACUCCCUCUGUCUCAAAAUUCUUGUCUUAGAUUUGUCUAAAUACGGAUGUAUCAAGUCACGUUUUAGUAUUAGAUAUAUCCGUAUCUAGAUAAAUCUAAGAAAAAAAUCUUGAGACAGAGGGAGUAUACU